rnacentral:rRNA from 1 species
ACACGACUACAUUAGAUACCCGCGUAGUCCUAGCCGUAAACGAUACUCGCUAGGUGUCGGCCACGGUGCGACCGUUGUCGGUGCCGUAGGGAAGCCGUGAAGCGAGCCACCUGGGAAGUACGGCCGCAAGGCUGAAACUUAAAGGAAUUGGCGGGGAGCACCACAACGGGUGGAGCUUGCGGUUUAAUUGGAUUCAACGCCGGAAAUCUUACCGGGACCGACAGCAACAUGAAGGCCAGGCUGAAGACUUUGCCGGAUUAGCUG